rnacentral:rRNA from 1 species
UACGUAGGGUGCAAGCGUUGUCCGGAAUUAUUGGGCGUAAAGAGCUCGUAGGCGGUUUGUCGCGUCUGCUGUGAAAACUCGGGGCUUAACCCCGGGCCUGCAGUGGGUACGGGCAGACUAGAGUGCGGUAGGGGAGACUGGAAUUCCUGGUGUAGCGGUGAAAUGCGCAGAUAUCAAGAGGAACACCUGAGGUGAAGACGGGUUGCUGGGCUGACACUGACGCUGAGGCGCGAAAGCCAGGGGAGCAAACGGG